rnacentral:lncRNA from 1 species
ACUAAUCUUUUUUCUUUCCUAUUUUAACAAGUUUCUCUACAUCCCCAGCAAAAGAAAGUAGAAAAGGAAAAGAAAAGAAACAGAAAUUGUAGAAAAUGGGUUCGGAGACGUUCAUUGAGGUUAUACUAGCUGUUCUCUUGCGGCCGAUAGGGGGUGUUUUCGCGAAGAACCCACAAUCAAAGAGUGUAUAUGGCUUUCAAUCUAAGACAUUGUUGUAUCAUGAUAAUUUUCUGUUGCAAUUGUAAAACCUUCUCUUUACUCUGUUCAUGAGUUUUCAUUCAUUUGUUCAAUAUCAUUCAAUUAGGUUGUUCUACACCAUAUGAUCAUGCUCUCUGUUUUGUAUUCUUAUGUUAGCCGCUAUUGGACGGAAACUUAUACAAUAAUCCAUCCAAGUCACGGGGAAUGUCCAUGAAUGUUUUUAACUAAUCUACACACGAUCAAUUUGAUUUGCUACGGGAAAAGAAGGCAACAAAAAUUAAAUUCAAAGUUAUAAAAGGCGCCAACAUAUUUCUUU